rnacentral:rRNA from 3 species
GCAUCUAAGCGUGAAGCCCCCCUCAAGAUGAGAUUUCCCAAUUAGUAAGACCCCUUGAAGACGACGAGGUAGAUAGGUUGGAGGUGGAAGUGCAGCAAUGCAUGGAGCUGACCAAUACUAAUCGGUCGAGGGCUUAUCCUA